AAUGCAAGGGUAAAUGUAGGUUUUGGGGUCUAUGCUCUAAAGUAGGUGGAAGUAUGACUUUCCAAAUAAAGAAAGGCUCCUAGAACAAGUAAAGCACAUGCAAUUAAAGCUAAUGAUGGACAACCAACUGAACUAACUGAUGGAGAAACAAAUGAUGAAAUUGAUGGAAAACCAACUAAAGCUAAUGAAACAACGGUGUAGCACAAACUAAAACAACUAGUGUGGCACAAACUGAUACAACUGAUGUAGCACA
rnacentral:lncRNA from 1 species